CAGUAGCCGCGGGAAUACAGAGGGUGCAAGCGUUAAUCGGAAUUACUGGGCGUAAAGCGCGCGUAGGUGGUUUGUUAAGUUGGAUGUGAAAUCCCCGGGCUCAACCUGGGAACUGCAUCCAAAACUGGCAAGCUAGAGUAUGGUAGAGGGUGGUGGAAUUUCCUGUGUAGCGGUGAAAUGCGUAGAUAUAGGAAGGAACACCAGUGGCGAAGGCGACCACCUGGACUGAUACUGACACUGAGGUGCGAAAGCGUGGGGAGCAAACAGGAUUAGAUACCCCCGUAGUCCCUGUCUCUUAUAA
rnacentral:rRNA from 1 species